GACGAACGCUGGCGGCGUGCCUAAUACAUGCAAGUAGAACGCUGAAGGAGGAGCUUGCUCUUCUGGAUGAGUUGCGAACGGGUGAGUAACGCGUAGGUAACCUGCCUGGUAGCGGGGGAUAACUAUUGGAAACGAUAGCUAAUACCGCAUAACAGUAGAUGUUGCAUGACAUUUGCUUAAAAGGUGCAAUUGCACCACUACCAGAUGGACCUGCGUUGUAUUAGCUAGUUGGUGGGGUAACGGCUCACCAAGGCGACGAUACAUAGCCGACCUGAGAGGGUGAUCGGCCACACUGGGACUGAGACACGGCCCAGACUCCUACGGGAGGCAGCAGUAGGGAAUCUUCGGCAAUGGACGGAAGUCUGACCGAGCAACGCCGCGUGAGUGAAGAAGGUUUUCGAAUCGUAAAGCUCGGUUGUAAGAGAAGAACGAGUGUGAGAGUGGAAAGUUCACACUGUGACGGUAUCUUACCAGAAAGGGACGGCUAACUACGUG
rnacentral:rRNA from 1 species